rnacentral:rRNA from 1 species
GCUUGUCUCAAAGAUUAAGCCAUGCAUGUCUAAGUAUAAACAAAUUUAUAGUGAAACUGCGAAUGGCUCAUUAUAUCAGUUAUAGUUUAUUUGGCGAUAAAAACUACUUGGAUAACCGUAGUAAUUCUAGAGCUAAUACAUGCUAUCAAGCCCGACUUCUUGAAGGGUUGUAUUUAUUAGACUUAAGCCAAUAUUCCUUGUGUCUAUUGCGAUGAUUCAUAAUAACUGAUCGAAUCUCAAAUUUGAGAUAAAUCAUUCAAGUUUCUGCCCUAUCAGCUUUCGAUGGUAGUGUAUUGGACUACCAUGGCAGUAACGGGUAACGAAGAAUUAGGGUUCGAUUUCGGAGAGGGAGCAUGAGAAACGGCUACCACAUCUAAGGAAGGCAGCAGG